rnacentral:rRNA from 1 species
AUGAAAGUGAUCAACAGCUUCUCAACCCUCCACAUUUCCAGCCUUCACUGGCUCAACUCGGCCAAUAUUGCUCUCAUCUCAAAAAAAGAUGGGGCGGAGGACAUAUCCGGCUUGAAACCCAUAAGUCUCAUCCAUGCGGUUGUGAAGAUCAUUGCCAAGAUGAUGCUCACUUGUCGCACCCCUCACAUGCCAAAUAUUGCUUCCAAUACGCAAAGUGCAUUCAUUAAGAAAAGAAGCAUCCAUGAUAACUUUAUGUAUGUCCGCAACUUGGCUCGUCGAUUUCACCGCAACAAAUCUCCAAUCUUGCUCUUCAAGUUAGACAUCAGGAAAGCUUUCUACUCGGUUAGAUAG